AGGCCAGUAGCUCAACUGGUAGAGCACUCGUCUCCAAAACGAGCGGUUGUGGGUUCAAGUCCUGCCUGGCCUGCCU
rnacentral:tRNA from 2 species